CGGCUUCCGGCGGCUGUCCGGCUCACACACAGUGAGCUGCCAGCGACGCCAUCCGCCCCCUCGGCGGCUGCAGCUAGCGCUGCUCCGCCACCCCAGCAGAAGGGGCCAUCAACCUCCGGGCUAGUGGCCUCCAAGGCCUUGUCCCUCGAGACGAGGCCUUCACCGCGAACAAACCGCUCUCAAGAGCGGGUGUCCAGCGCUCCGCAAGAGCCAAUGGACACAUCUUCCAGCCAGACGGCGCAGCCAGCGCCAAAGGAGCUGCGAGAAUCUCUCGACCGCUCCAAAAAAGAAAAAGCCCGCAUCACAGGGCCCGACAAGGGCUCUUUAAGUUAGUCUCUUUUUUAAACACACAGCACAAAAAAACACUUCCAACAUGAAUACACAAAUAAUACAGUGGAACGUCAGAGGACUCCUACACAACCUCGAUGACGUCAAAGAAAUCCUACACAGGUUUAAUCCUAAGGUGCUGUGUGUUCAAGAGACACACCUUAAAUCUACACAAUCCAACUUUCUCCGGCAAUACGCCAUUUUCAGGAAAGACCGAGACGACGCUCUUGCGUCGUCCGGUGGUGUAGCAAUAGUUGUAGACAAGUCCGUAGCUUGUCAACAUGUACCCCUUCAGACGGCCCUUGAGGCAGUGUCAAUUCAGGCAAUUCUUUUCAAUAAAUUG